rnacentral:rRNA from 1 species
UAGGGAAUCUUCCACAAUGGACGCAAGUCUGAUGGAGCAACGCCGCGUGAGUGAAGAAGGUUUUCGGAUCGUAAAGCUCUGUUGUUGGUGAAGAAGGAUAGAGGUAGUAACUGGCCUUUAUUUGACGGUAAUCAACCAGAAAGUCACGGCUAACUACGUGCCAGCAGCCGCGGUAAUACGUAGGUGGCAAGCGUUGUCCGGAUUUAUUGGGCGUAAAGCGAGCGCAGGCGGAAGAAUAAGUCUGAUGUGAAAGCCCUCGGCUUAACCGAGGAACUGCAUCGGAAACUGUUUUUCUUGAGUGCAGAAGAGGAAAGUGGAAUUCCAUGUGUAGCGGUGGAAUGCGUAGAUAUAUGGAAGAACGCCAGUGGCGAAGGCGACUCUCUGGUCUGCAACUGACGCUGAGGCUCGAAAGCAUGGGUAGCGAACAGG